UUCAACUUUUCCUCCAAUAACUCACUGAUCAUAUCAUGGUCACCUCCUGUUUACUUCUCUAAUGAUAUUCCCAUUGGAUCUCCUGUCAGUUAUGAAAUACAAGUCAUUAUUUUUGAUGAUGAAAGAUCCAUUGAAGAUACAAUUACAACAAAUACAAAUAUUGUUGAAGUUUACAAUCUCACUCAGUGUGAUACAUUUAGUGUCAGUGUAACUGCACAUAAAGGUCUAUACACAUCAAAUAAUAAAACCAAGGAGAAUUAUGGAAAUUGUAGCAUGAAAAUUCAGAAAAUAUUUCAAACAUUUGAUGAAGUCACUAUAUUAUUCAAAGUAAAAUGCUCACCCUUGCUUUGCAAUAAAAUAAUAUUAA